GGAAAUGUGUCCACGUAUCUGAUCGCAUUGUCUCACUGCCUUCCAGUUGCAUCUCUACUGAGGGACCAAAGGGAACGAGUCCAGCGCGACACCAGCAACACUCCUGAAGAUCAUAUUGAAUAUGCCUCCGUGAAUUGGGUGGGAAGCUCC